UCUCUCUCGAAAACAAAAGAGACAACCCUAACAUACUAAGAUCUGCCUCUCCAGUUCACGACCCUCCUUGCCGUGACUGGAGAGGACUCCCCUCUAUUUUUCUCUCGCCGAUCUACUUUCUAGUCAGGACCUCUGUGCAAGAUUUCGAAGAAAA
rnacentral:sRNA from 1 species